rnacentral:rRNA from 1 species
UACGUAGGGGGCUAGCGUUGUCCGGAUUUAUUGGGCGUAAAGAGCGUGUAGGCGGCCAGGUAGGUCUGCUGUGAAAACUCGAGGCUCAACCUCGAGAUGUCGGCGGAAACCAUCUGGCUAGAGUCCGGAAGAGGAGAGUGGAAUUCCUGGUGUAGCGGUGAAAUGCGUAGAGAUCAGGCGGAACACCCGUGGCGAAGGCGGCCAGCUGGGCCGUCCCUGACGCUGAGGCGCGAAGGCGUGGGGAGCGAACGGG